rnacentral:rRNA from 1 species
UACGUAGGGUGCAAGCGUUGUCCGGAAUUAUUGGGCGUAAAGAGCUCGUAGGCGGUCUGUCACGUCGGCUGUGAAAACCCGAGGCUCAACCUCGGGCCUGCAGUCGAUACGGGCAGACUAGAGUUCGGUAGGGGAGACUGGAAUUCCUGGUGUAGCGGUGAAAUGCGCAGAUAUCAGGAGGAACACCGGUGGCGAAGGCGGGUCUCUGGGCCGACACUGACGCUCAUGCACGAAAGCGUGGGGAGCAAACAGG